UAAUACAGUGCAAAUGAAAAUAGUGGUGAGAGCACUCAAUGCAAGCAAAAUAGAACGUUUACCACUACUGUCUUGAGCAUGUAUCUAGAAUAACAAGACAUAAAGAGAACCAUAGGGUAAUAUUGUCAUAAAUAUAUACAAUGACCAUAUGUGACUGGUUAAACUCACAUGCUUCUGAGUCACUUUAAAAAGCUGACUCAGACUAUGAACUUGUAAUGGAGAUGAAACCUUUUAAGCA